rnacentral:rRNA from 1 species
CAGUAGCCGCGGGAAUACGUAGGGUGCGAGCGUUAAUCGGAAUUACUGGGCGUAAAGCGUGCGCAAGCGGUUAUAUAAGACAGAUGUGAAAUCCCCGGGCUCAACCUGGGACCUGCAUUUGUGACUGUACAGCUAGAGUACGGUAGAGGGGGAUGGAAUUCCGCGUGUAGCAGUGAAAUGCGUAGAUAUGCGGAGGAACACCGAUGGCGAAGGCAAUCCCCUGGACCUGUACUGACGCUCAUGCACGAAAGCGUGGGGAGCAAACAGGAUUAGAUACCCCUGUAGUCCCUGUCUCUUAUAC